UUCUGCUGCUAGAUGUACAAGGGCAGGGGAGUUAGCUGCAGGCCUUGGAUUGAAGACUUGGGGGGCAUGGAAGCUGUUAAGAAAGAGUAUUUGUAUUAAAAGGCUUUAGCAAAUUAUUUUAUCCCUUGCAAAGCUGUUUGGGUCAAUAGAAAAAUAACUGAUACAUGUCAUAGAAAAUUUCUAGCCAGAACCUUAAAGAUACUGUUUAAAAGGUAUUUCCAGAGGGGACCUUGAGUUGGUUCUUGAUUCAUUGUCAUCAUGGUCCUUGACUCAUCUGAGUUCAGCUGCCUGUGUUACAUCCCCCAUAUAAACAGGCUGGAGUUUUUCCCCCGCACACGGUGACAUUUCUGGUGGUAGGUGGAUGAAGUUUGAGGAGAAGGUAGAACAAGGUGGGGAGUGAUGGAGCAAACAUCAUGUGGCCACCUUAUCCCUGCACAGCUUGUUUCAGUUGUGGACAUGUAUAGAGAAAAGCUCGAUAAUGCGGGUUGUGGAGGCUUCUUUUCUCCCUCAGGUGGUGGGUGAUCUCAGUGGCUGCUGUUGCUGUAACACUGCUCCGAGUGUGGUAGUUUUGGUGGGCCAGAGCCUUAGUCAGACAGAUGGGGAUCUUCAAGAAGCCUGCAGACUUGGUUUCCAGAAUUAUUUAAUCAUCAUGACUUGGUUGAUGUCCUGUAGUGACACACAGGAAACAAAAACUGCAAGAGCUCUCUUUGUUGAUUUGUGUUCUAUCAGAAACAUGGAAGAAAUACUUGCUGGAUGGAGAGGUUAAACGGAAUGAAGAAAGACAUGUUGUUCUGAAGGAAGUAUUCCAAAAAUACCAAUAAAAAAUGACUUACAGAAAAUUGUCGAUUUAGAGAAAUAAACCACUUGCCAAACAUUUUGUGUAACAAUACCUAUGUGCAUAUAAUCAUUAGUUUCUGAGUCUGGGUGGAAGAAUUAGGCUUUCCCCACCUGUGAUCUGAAGAGGCAUUAGUUCUUGGGGAGUGCAGAAAGGAUGACAUCCUGACUUACUGAGGAAGCAAAUGCGAUGUGUCUUCUGCCUCCCUUUCCCUGUAACUUUUAUUAUUAGCACAGAUGAAAGUUACCAGUAGACAAAUUGGAGCUGCCACUUGCCGUUGGGGA